GUUUGAUCCUGGCUCAGAUUGAACGCUGGCGGCAUGCUUUACACAUGCAAGUCGAACGGUAACAGGGAGCUUGCUCCGCUGACGAGUGGCGAACGGGUGAGUAAUGCAUCGGAACGUACCCAGUCGUGGGGGAUAACGUAGCGAAAGUUACGCUAAUACCGCAUACGUCCUGAGGGAGAAAGCGGGGGACCGUAAGGCCUCGCGCGAUUGGAGCGGCCGAUGUCGGAUUAGCUAGUUGGUAGGGUAAAGGCCUACCAAGGCGACGAUCCGUAGCGGGUCUGAGAGGAUGAUCCGCCACACUGGGACUGAGACACGGCCCCAGACUCCUACGGGAGGCAGCAGUGGGGAAUUUUGGGACAAUGGGCGAAAGCCUGAUCCAGCCAUGCCGCGUGAGUGAAGAAGGCCUCGGUU
rnacentral:rRNA from 1 species